rnacentral:rRNA from 1 species
UGAACGCUGGCGGCGUGCCUAAUACAUGCAAGUCGAGCGAUGAGGCCUUACGGGGCACCUUCGGGUGCUUGUCGGAGGUACAUCAGCGGCGAACGGGUGAGUAACACGUAGGCGACCUGCCCCGAAGACAGGGAUAACCACUGGAAACGGUGGCUAAUACCCGAUGUGCUCGGCGAUUCGGUUCGUCGAGUAAAAGCUCCGGCGCUUCGGGAGGGGCCUGCGGCUUAUCAGCUAGUUGGUAGGGUAAUGGCCUACCAAGGCGAAGACGAGUAGGGGGCGUGAGAGCGCGAUCCCCCACACUGGCACUGAGAUACGGGCCAGACUCCUACGGGAGGCAGCAGUCGGGGAUAUUGCACAAUCGGCGAAAGCCGGAUGCAGCGACGCCGCGUGGGCGAUGAAGGCCUUCGGGUUGUAAAGCCCUUUUAUGGGGGAAGAGACAAGGACGGUACCCCAAGAAUAAGUCCCGGCUAACUACGUGCCAGCAGCCGCGGUAAAACGUAGGGGACAAGCGUUAUCCGGAUUUACUGGGCGUAAAGAGCGUUGAGGCGGUUUCGUAAGUUGGGCGUGAAAGCCCCGGGCUUAACUCGGGGACGUCGUUCAAUACUGCGAAACUUGAGGGCAGCAGAGGGAGGUGGAAUUCCCGGAGUAGCGGUGAAAUGCGUAGAUAUCGGGAGGAACACCAGUGGCGAAGGCGGCCUCCUGGGCUGCUCCUGACGCUGAAGGCGAAAGCUAGGGGAGCAAACGGGAUUAGAAACCCCGGUAGUCCUAGCUGUAAACGAUGGGUGCUAGGUGUGGGGGGUAUAGACUCCCUCCGUGCCAAAGCUAACGCGUUAAGCAUCCCGCCUGGGGACUACGGCCGCAAGGCUAAAACUCAAACGAAUUGACGGGGGCCCGCACAAGCAGCGGAGCGUGUGGUUUAAUUCGAUGAUACACGAAGAACCUUACCUGGGCUUGACAUGCUGGUAGUAGUGAAGCGAAAGCGGAACGACCCUUCGGGGAGCCUGCACAGGUGCUGCAUGGCUGUCGUCAGCUCGUGCCGUGAAGUGCCGGGUUAAGUCCCGUAACGAGCGCAACCCUCGCCCUUAGUUAUAUGUGUCUAAGGGAACUGCCCGGGACAACUGGGAGGAAGGUGGGGAUGACGUCAAGUCAGCAUGGCCCUUAUGUCCAGGGCUACACACACGCUACAAUGGCCGGUACAAUGGGUUGCCAAGCCGUGAGGCGGAGCCAAUCCUCCAAAGUCGGUCUCAGUUCGAAUUGCAGGCUGCAACUCGCCUGCAUGAAGCUGGAGUUGCUAGUAACCGCGCGUCAGCUAUAGCGCGGUGAAUAUGUUCCCGGGCCUUGUACACACCGCCCGUCACGUCAUGGAAGCUGGCAAUACCUGAAGCCGGUAGGCCAACCCGCAAGGGAGGCAGCCGUCGAAGGUAGGGCCGGUGACUGGGACGAAGUCGUAACAAGGUA